GGGCACACCUGGGCAGCAAGAAAAUCCAGUCACAUGUUCCAAUAUUUUUAAUCACUUGAAAAUAACGGGUGGGUUCAAACAAAAGCUGCCAUGGUCUAAGUUGUUUAACACAUCUAGAUGUACAUAUGAGGAAAUGAAAGCUGAAAUUCUGAUCUGUCGUCUCAUAUUCAUCUUUUGAUCUCAAACCUAAAUGUCUUUAAUGUAUAGCGAAAACAAUAGAAUUGUCCUUACUGUUCCAAUACUGUCUGAGGGGACCCUGUGUAACUACAUCUCAAAGUGCUUGGAUCCCUAAAUUCCAAUUGACCUACAUUGUAACUUUACUUAUGGUGUAUUAGUGCAGUGGUUUUCAAAGUGGGGCUGGGGGCCACCAGGGGGCGCCCGGGGGGCCUCAACAAUUUGGUGUGAAAAAUAAAUAAAUACAUGAUUUUUUUCAGACAACCACACACACACAUAAUCAAUUCCUAAUGUAAUAUAAUGUAAAGAUGUAAGAUGUAAUUAUUCAUUUUAAAAAAAAAGGGGGAUAUAUUCAGAAGUCUGUAUUUUUAAUGUGUUUUAAAGACAUCUUGCAAAAGGGCGGCCUCGGUCAAAUGUUAAAGCCAUUUGGUGGGCCUUGCCCUGGAAAAGUUUGGGAACCCCUAUAUUAGUGUAUUAGUAAUGUAAACUAAUGCAGUAAAUAAUGUUAGUAUGCUACCCACAUAUUUGAAAUGGAAAUAUAGACUGACAUCAUCCUCGUGUUGCUUAUUAAAUGCAUAUUAACCAAAUGGAGGUGAGCAAUUUUAAUGAGAAAAAAACAGCUGCAGUUUACACAGGAACAUAUUUAGCGUGAAUUACAUCAAAAUACCUCACCAUGAUCCAUAAUUCAUUUACAUAAUGGCCAUUAUAGAAACACAAUGAGUGCAGUCUCAAGUAGAUUUAUUUAACCCCAAAUACUCACCACUUCAAUUGUUUUGAUCCAUUUGUGUUGCCACCCACAUUCCCUUCUCAUGUUUCCCUUUCUUUUUACCCAAGCCUGCUAAUCGAGAUCAUUGUUUGGCAGCAUAGUUGUGAAGAAUGAAGUCACACCAGUGGGGUGAGGUUGGAAAAACCAAAUGAAGAUUUGUCAUCAAAAUCCAUCCCUCUAUCUUCUAUAGCGCUUAUCCUUCCUUCAGGGUCACGGGGAACCUGGAGCCUGUCCCAGGGAGCAUCGGACACAAGGUGGGGUACACUCUGUACAGGGUGCCAAUCCAUCACAUCACAUUCACACACCCAUUCAUACACUACGGACACUUUGGACAUGCCAAUCAGCC
ensembl:lncRNA